GACGAACGCUGGCGGCGUGCCUAACACAUGCAAGUCGAGCGAGUGAAUCUCCUUCGGGAGUGAAGCUAGCGGCGGACGGGUGAGUAACACGUGGGCAACCUGCCUCAUAGAGGGGAAUAGCCUUUCGAAAGGAAGAUUAAUACCGCAUAAGAUUGUAGCUUCGCAUGAAGUAGCAAUUAAAGGAGCAAUCCGCUAUGAGAUGGGCCCGCGGCGCAUUAGCUAGUUGGUGAGGUAACGGCUCACCAAGGCGACGAUGCGUAGCCGACCUGAGAGGGUGAUCGGCCACAUUGGGACUGAGACACGGCCCAGACUCCGACGGGAGGCAGCAGUGGGGAAUAUUGCACAAUGGGGGAAACCCUGAUGCAGCAACGCCGCGUGAGUGAUGACGGCCUUCGGGUUGUAAAGCUCUGUCUUCAGGGACGAUAAUGACGGUACCUGAGGAGGAAGCCACGGCUAACUACGUGCCAGCCGCCGCUGUAACAC
rnacentral:rRNA from 1 species